UACGGAGGGUGCAAGCGUUGUCCGGAAUCACUGGGCGUAAAGAGCUCGUAGGCGGUUCGUCGCGUCGGCUGUGAAAACCUGAGGCUCAACCUCAGGCCUGCAGUCGAUACGGGCGGACUUGAGUACUGCAGGGGAGACUGGAAUUCCUGGUGUAGCGGUGAAAUGCGCAGAUAUCAGGAGGAACACCGGUGGCGAAGGCGGGUCUCUGGGCAGUAACUGACGCUGAGGAGCGAAAGCGUGGGGAGCGAACAGG
rnacentral:rRNA from 1 species